UCUUGGAUGGCAAAUGGAAGAAACGUC
rnacentral:piRNA from 2 species